ACCCAGGAUAACUCAGUCAGUAGAGCAUGAGACUCUUAAUCCCAGGUUCAUGGGUUUGAACCCCACAUUGGGCA